rnacentral:rRNA from 1 species
UGAGUAACACGUAUCCAACCUGCCGUCUACUCUUGGACAGCCUUCUGAAAGGAAGAUUAAUACAAGAUGGCAUCAUGAGUUCACAUGUUCACAUGAUUAAAGGUAUUCCGGUAGACGAUGGGGAUGCGUUCCAUUAGAUAGUAGGCGGGGUAACGGCCCACCUAGUCUUCGAUGGAUAGGGGUUCUGAGGGGAAGGUCCCCCACAUUGGAACUGAGACACGGUCCAA